UACGAAGGGGGCUAGCGUUGUUCGGAAUUACUGGGCGUAAAGCGCGUGUAGGCGGGCCGUUAAGUCGGGGGUGAAAGCCCAGAGCUCAACUCUGGAAUUGCCUUCGAUACUGGCGGCCUGGAGCAUGAUAGGGGCGAGUGGAAUUGCGAGUGUAGAGGUGAAAUUCGUAGAUAUUCGCAGGAAUACCAGUGGCGAAGGCGACUCGCUGGAUCAUUGCUGACGCUGAGGCACGAAAGCGUGGGGAGCAAACAGG
rnacentral:rRNA from 1 species